ensembl:lncRNA
ACGUGUGUAGGAUCUAACUGUGUAACGUGAGUGUAGGAUCUAACUGUGUAACGUGAGUGCCUAGUAUCUAACUGUGUAACGUGAGCGUGUACAAUACGAGUGCGCAGGAUGUAGCUGUGUAACGUGAGUGCGUAGGAUCUAACUGUGUAACGUGAGUGCGUAGGAUGUAGCUGUGUAACGUGAGUGCGUAGGAUGUAGCUGUGUAACGUGAGUGCGUAGGAUGUAGCUGUGUAACGUGAGUGUAGGAUCUAACUGUGUAACGUGAGUGUAGGAUCUAACUGUGUAACGUGAGUGUAGGAUCUAACUGUGUAACGUGAGUGCGUAGGAUCUAACUGUGUAACGUGAGUGUAGGAUCUAACUGUGUAACGUGAUUGUAGGAUCUAACUGUGUAACGUGAGUGCGUAGGAUCUAACUGGGUAACGUGAGUGCGUAGGAUCUAACUGUGUAACGUGAGUGCGUAGGAUCUAACUGUGUAACGUGAGUGCGUAGGAUGUAGCUGUGUAACGUGAGUGCGUAGGAUGUAGCUGUGUAACGUGAGUGCGUAGGAUGUAG